GCUCACAAACUUGAGAUACGCCCUUAACUUGUUUCCUGGAUCCGCCCUAUUCUAGAUCGGCCAGCGCCCCUUUUGGUGGAGUGGAAGAUAGCUGUAGUGAGUAAAUGUUUUUUUUUAUUAUUAUGGUUACUACAUCUAUUGUAGUAACCAUCGGCUAAGAAUAAUAAAGAGGAUCAAGAGAGAAAAAAAAAUAUCCAAAGGAGAGUUUGUAGUGAAGAAACCCAUAUGAAUCCAAGCUGGUUAAUAAGAAAAAUGAGACAGUUUGUGGCGUUUGUGGUAAAAUGUACAUGAAAACUCAAAUUCGGGGAGGGAACACUAUACACCCCAGAUGUGCCGUCCCUUGCCUCUCUUUCUUGGAGCUUCGUCAUGCAUGAUUUAAUCAACACAUGGAACAACAAUUUAUCAGGAAAGAGCUAAAUAUGUACAUUUAGUGCCUGUGGUAAACAGGUAAACAUUGCCCAGUAUAAACUAGACAUAUAUGACCGCUGACAAAAUGAAAUGAUAUUAACGAGGAAAUCCAGCCGAGCAAUUCCCAGUAAAAUAAUGGUCAAGCGCACGGCCCUGACUCCCUCGUCCCCCUUGAGUAAUUACAAGACCCGACUUACCCUCGCUCCCCCUCCCCACCCCCCAGGCUGUACCCGGUCUCGCACGUGCCCAGCAAGGGGUUCGCGGCUCCCGUGCUAUCAGACUGGUCCUCACACCCCUGCCGAGUGCCACGAGGAGCGGAGCUUCUGAUCUCGGGGCACCUCCUACGCGUGUUGUGACCGCUUGACUGUGUGUUAGACUUGGCGGCGAUUGUGCGUUGUGCUUGUUUAUGUUCACCCGUCCUGGUGUUCGUGCUGUUUAUUUAUACUGAAACGUUGGAGGGAGUUUACUGUCCGGACUCGUGUUCUUUCAUUAUUGUGUGAGGAUGUGAGUUGUUCUCCAGUGACCUGUCAGUUGACGUUGUGAAAUAAGAACCACAACAUUAAGUGCAUUUACAUAAGCAUCAAACCCAGCGGAAGCUUGUUGUAUCACCUUGACUACAGUGGAGAUAUAAGUUUAUUCCAAGGAGUGGCGUGGGAAGGUUGUGCGAGGCGGUCGACUCAAGACAGGGGGCCCACAAGGCUCCAGGAGAGAGCGGCCGCGACCCUCCGACCAGAAUCCCAAUUGCUCCGAGAUUCGCAGCAGCACCUUUGCCCCAGACGCU